CACGUAGGGUGCGAGCGUUGUCCGGAAUUAUUGGGCGUAAAGAGCUCGUAGGCGGCUUGUUGCGUCGACCGUGAAAACCCGCGGCUUAACUGUGGGCUUGCGGUCGAUACGGGCGGGCUGGAGUUCGGUAGGGGAGACUGGAAUUCCUGGUGUAGCGGUGAAAUGCGCAGAUAUCAGGAGGAACACCGGUGGCGAAGGCGGGUCUCUGGGACGGUACUGACGCUGAGACGCGAAAGCGUGGGGAGCGAACAGG
rnacentral:rRNA from 1 species